AUGAAGGAGAAGGACAUACACAAAAUAGCCUUCACUACUUACUGUGGUCGCUAUGAAUUUCUAGUCAUGCCAUUUGGUUUGGCCAAUGCUCCAGGCACUUUUCAAGCUCUAAUGAACUUUGUAUUUGGCCCUCACCUCAGGAAAUUUAUACUAGUGUUCUCUGAUGACAUCCUCAUCUAUAGCAAAACCUUGAAGGGCCACAUCAAACAUGUGAGAAUAUCUUUACAACACCUCCAACAACAUCAAUUGGUUGUCAAGCUGUCCAAAUGUGUUUUCGCUGUACAACAAGCUGAGUACUUGGGCCAUAUUAUCACUGAAAAAGGAGUAGCAACAGAUCCUGCAAAAAAUGCUGCUGUGGUUAAUUGGCCUACACCAACCACAGUGACACAACUAAGGUUUUUUGGGGUCUCUGUGGAUAUUACAGGAGGUUCAUUCAACAGUUUGGCUCAAUUGCUAGACCUCUCAAUGAUCUUCUCAAAAAGGACAGUUUCCUUUGGACCUCUCAACAGGACAAGGCCUUUUCUUAGCUGA
rnacentral:rRNA from 1 species